CUGGAGAUGUCUAAACCCGUCGAUGGCUGCUCUCUUUAUGAUGUUGUCCUGCAGAGCAUCGACCAGCGCUCCAUGAUGAUGGAAAGCCCUCUUCAUCACAUGAGUGAGCCUGUUGUUCUGUCAUCAGAUGUUUAGUUUGAGUGUGCGUUUCCAUCCCUGAUGUUCGUUUUGUGUGUUUCCUCAGUGGUGUGCGGUCCUCCUGAUUGGCCCGUCCACUCUCUGCUGGUCUCCAACCUGACGUGGGUUUCCACUGACCUAUCGGACUCUGACGUCUGCCGGCCCAACCCCUCGCUGUUUCUAUGUGACCCCAGUGAGACUCUGGCCAUUAUCAUGGCUGACAGCUGCCCGUCGGAGCCUCCCACAGCGCAGACACACACUCAGACUAACAAUAUUCAACCAGCAGCACAAAGCACACAACAACCCACCUGGAGGCCUGCCCAUACAACAUUUACCAAGUCAUCAACAACGACACAAUCUUCCACAGUUGUAGAAAACACAACAACAUAUCACACAAAACUAAGGACACCAAGUAAAAACACAACGGGGAGAAACAAAAACACUACAACAGUUACUGCUACUUUUAGCAAAAUUGAUUCCACAACAUCUGCACACAAUGUAACAACUGUUGCCUUUCCAAAACAUGUCACAGAACAGCCUCUAAAAGACACGACAACACAAAAUAAAACUAGUGUCACAGCUUAUCCAAAUGCUACAAUUGCAGUUACACAAAACACAACUACAACGUCACUGUCUACAAAGGAUACAUUAGCACAAACUAGCACUGCAGUUACAGCUUUUCAAAGUAAUACAACAAACAAUGUGACAAGUCAAUUUUGGGCAGAAGUUACAACAAAACCCAAUGUAAUGACAGUCACACCUCCAACAAAUAGUGUUGGCUACACUAUAGCCACCACAACACUAUCUCUGAAUGACACAACACUACACGAUGCAACGACAAGUCCUCCAGGUGACACAAUGACCCACAAUAGAGCUAAAGUUACACUUUCAACAAAUAGCCCUCACACUGGGACUACAGCCACUGUUGGCAACAAUCGUACAGCCACAAUCCUUCCAAAGGACACUGAAAGGACAGAUACACCUACGACUACAUCCUAUCCAGGAAACACAGCACACAAAGUAACUACAGUUGCACAACCUCCACGUGACACAACGAACAAUGCAACUCUCUCCCCAGAUUUUAAGAAUCCUAAUGUUAGUGUUAGAGGCGCUACACAAACUACAGCCACACAUAAUCACACUGUACAGACACCCUCUGGUGUAACAUCUCAUCCCUACAACACAACUCCCACAAUGUCUCAGAUUGAUACAAACAAAACUAUGACCACAGAUUCACAUUCAAAACACAACGUAACUACAAGUAAUCCCUUUGUGAAUGACACAGUAACCAACACUUCCAUGGUUACGCCUUCUCUAAAUGAUAACUUAACCAACAACGUUUCUAUGGUUACAGCUUCUCUAAAUGGUACCGUAACCAGCAAUGUUACUAUGGUUACGAUGUCUCCCAAAGAUGCAUUUUACAAGGUGACUACAGCUAUGCCUUCUCUAAAUGACACAGCAAUUAACAUUUCCAUGGUUACGCCUUCCCUAAAUGAUACCGUACCUAACAACGUUACGAUAGUUACGAUGUCCCCCAAUGAUGCAUCUUACAAUGCAACUACAGCUACGACUCUUCCAAUUGAAACAGUAACCAACGUUUCUAUGGUUACACCUUCUCUAAAUUAUACAGUAUCUGACAACGAUUCAGUGGUUACGCCUUCCCGAGAUGAUACAUUAACCAACAACGUUACAAUGGUUACAAUGUCGCCCAAUGAUGCAUCUUACAACGCAACUACAGCUACGCCUCUUCAAAUUGAUACAGUAACUAAUGUUUCCAUGGUUACGCCUUCUCUAAAUGAUACUGUAACAAAAAAUGUUUCUAUUGUUACAGCUUUUCUAAAUGAUAAUGUAACUAACAACGUUUCUCUGGUUACAGCAUCUCUAAAUGAUACAGUAACCACCGUCUCUAUGGUUACCGCUUCUCUAAAUGAUGCCACACACAAUGUAACUACAGGUAAUUAUUUUGUCAGUGAUACUGUAACCAUCAACGUUUCUACGGUUACCGUGUCUCCUAGUCUUGCAUCUUACAAUGUAACUGCGCUUACAUUGUCGCUAAAUGAUACAACACACAAUGUAACUACAGUUGAUCUGUCUUUAAAUAAUACAGUGACAAACAACAUUUCCAUGGUUGCGAUCUCACUAAAUGAUACAACGCUAACUGUGACUACCGUUAGUCCUUUUCCUAAUGAUAACAACAUAUCCACGGCUUCAAGUUCUUCCAACAAUGGAACUACUCUGACAGUGACACACAACGUUUCCAUGGUUACAACAAUUGUUAUGGCCUCUCUGAAUGACACAGUAACGCAAAAUCUUACUAUGGCGACAUCUUUCAAUGAUGCGUCAUACAAUGUAACUACAGUUACACUUUUUCAAAAUAUCACCUCAAACAAUGUAACCACAGCAUUGCCUAUUCUAAAUGAUACGUUGCACAUUGUAACGCCAGUAAAAACAACACUACACAACAUUACCAUGGUUACAUCCUCUCCAUACAAUAAAACACACAAGUUAACUACUGACAUCCUUCCAAUGGUUACGACACAAACUUUGGUAACUGCUGCUGUCGCCCCCCAUCAAAAUGAUACAACGCACAUCGUAACCACCACAGAGUCGACCACGACUACCCGUCACACAGCGAGAUAUGAGGUUACCAACAGUCAAACAACAGUUCUGCCCACAACUGUAGACGACAUGCCUUUUACUAAUGACACCCACACAACGUUUGGCUCAAUAACGUCAACAACACCUGACGACUACACAACUCUCCCAGCAGUGGUAGACAACACAAGCACAGAGAUAGUAACCAAAACAACAUCGAGAGCAACAGCCACUACACAAGCUGACACAACAUCCUCAACCACAUUACCAACAUCUCUGCUCAGUUUGACGACAUCUACAGCCACAGAAGUGGCCACAAUGACAACAAAUCCCACAAGAAAAGACCCAGGACACCAUUCACUGAGUCCUCCGUCCAACAGUUCACCAUACACAUCCACAUUACCCACAACUGCUGGCAAUGGAUCAGAAACACAGGAGGAACUAGCAAACCUGCUCAUCGAUCGAACACAAAACGCCUCUCAGCUCAACUCAUCUCAGGUGAUGCUUUGAAUCACUUUAACUUAAGGUCUGAGUCAUCAUCCAAUAGAACUAAAUGUUAUAACCUGGAAAAGCUUUUUAUAUCUACGUCUG
rnacentral:lncRNA from 1 species